GUGGGGAAUCUUGCGCAAUGGGCGAAAGCCUGACGCAGCCAUGCCGCGUGGAUGAUGAAGGUCUUAGGAUUGUAAAAUCCUUUCACCGGUGAAGAUAAUGACUGUAGCCGGAGAAGAAGCCCCGGCUAACUUCGUGCCAGCAGCCGCGGUAAUACGAAGGGGGCUAGCGUUGCUCGGAUUUACUGGGCGUAAAGGGCGCGUAGGCGGACAUUUAAGUCAGGGGUGAAAUCCCGGGGCUAAACCUCGGAACUGCCUUUGAUACUGGGUGUCUUGAGUAUGAGAGAGGUGUGUGGAACUCCGAGUGUAGAGGUGAAAUUCGUAGAUAUUCGGAAGAACACCAGUGGCGAAGGCGACACACUGGCUCAUUACUGACGCUGAGGCGCGAAAGCGUGGGGAGCAAACAGGAUUAGAUACCCCGGUAGUCC
rnacentral:rRNA from 1 species